AUGCUGUGAUGAGGACACUUUCUAAAAAAUUCUUUAAGCCCUUCCCAUUCGUCAUAUAAUAAUUCCUCGUUAGUCUGGAAGAAGUUAUCGAUCUCUCCUCUCAACCU